AGCACCUCCUGUUAUAUAUAAUGACUUGUGAAGUUCAUCUCCUGAAUUAUGGAACGUCAUUGACAUUUUUUAUUCAACGAAGAGUUAACCACUCUUAAUAAUAAUGGGUUUUAUAGCGAAAUAGACUUUUUUAUCGCGUGUUCAAUAUUUGCGUUAGUUAUUAUUUUUUUGGAAUGUAAAUUCUCUCUAAACACAGGUGAUAUUUAUGUUGGAAUUGUGGUGUUGAUUCUAUUCUUAUAAUAUAACAAGAAAUGUUGUAACUGAUAGAUAUAUUAAAAGAUUAAAUCGGAGCGGGAAUAAAGCGUGCUAAGCAUCAUCGUGAAUAUGAUUACAGCGCCUGCGAUGGCAUAUAACCGUAUUGCGGAUGGAGCGUCACGUGAGGACUGUGAAGCACAAUGCGAUAUGUUCUGAUUAUAUGGCGAGUUUGCUUAAUGACAUGUUUUUAGCCGAACGGUGUCAAGUUUCUUAAUGUGGUUGUGAGAUUUUCUCUUUAAAUAUCAAAAUGUUGCAUGGGUGAUUUGUUGUUCUAUAGUGGCUAAACACUUUAUGGUUUCUGUUAAAUAUAUAUGCGUGAGAAAAAUUAGCAUUCAAAUCUAUAAAAGUUAGAUGACAUUGUAGAACCGGUUACCUAAAUGAGCGAUAGAGUGCUUCGGUAGUAAAAAUAUCUUUCAGGAAGUAAACACAUCAGGAGCGAUAGCGGUGAAUUAUUCGUGGUUUUGUCGAUUCGGCAUAGUGGCGAUAACUGAAUGCCGGAUCGGUACUGCAGGUGUUUAAACACACCGUAAAUAAUAAGUAGUAUUAAGGAGUUGUU
rfam:Salmonella enterica subsp. enterica serovar Typhimurium str. LT2, complete genome.